GCCCUUAGAGUUUGAUCAUGGCUCAGGACGAACGCUGGCGGCGUGCCUAAUACAUGCAAGUCGAGCGCGGGAAGCAGGAUGACCCCUUCGGGGUGAUUCUUGUGGAACGAGCGGCGGACGGGUGAGUAACACGUGGGCAACCUGCCUGUAAGACUGGGAUAACUCGCGGAAACGUGAGCUAAUACCGGAUAAUACUUUUCUUUACCUAAGGAGAAGUUGAAAGGCGGCUUUUCGGAGCUGUCACUUACAGAUGGGCCCGCGGCGCAUUAGCUAGUUGGUAGGGUAAUGGCCUACCAAGGCGACGAUGCGUAGCCGACCUGAGAGGGUGAUCGGCCACACUGGGACUGAGACACGGCCCAGACUCCUACGGGAGGCAGCAGUAGGGAAUCUUCCGCAAUGGACGAAAGUCUGACGGAGCAACGCCGCGUGAACGAUGAAGGUUUUCGGAUCGUAAAGUUCUGUUGUUAGGGAAGAACAAGUACCGUUCAAAUAGGGCGGUACCUUGACGGUACCUAACGAGGAAGCCCCGGCUAACUACGUGCCAGCAGCCGCGGUAAUACGUAGGGGG
rnacentral:rRNA from 1 species